UUUAUUUUGACAUACAGAAAAUUUCUAAAGAGAAAGUUUUGAAAUUUGAAAUGAUUGUUUAAUAAGUAUUCUUCAAAGAAAAACCAUCAAAAUACCAUGCAUUCAAGAAAAUAUUAUACCCAUUCAGAAGACACGUAGAAUGCUAAGAUUAUUAAGCGGAAAGUCAAAAAUUUCCUCAGAUAUACAUAUUUUCGAAGAAAUUUUGACGCUAUAAGGAAGCCGAUAUGUUUGCUUAUGACCGCAAAGAUGACAAAAUGUAUUCAAUGUUCGGAGAUUUAGUAAAUUUACAAAAAUUGGAUAAAACAUUUGCUUUGAUAAAAAUUCACAAAUUCGUAUGUCACAAUCCAGAAACAUCAUCAAGAUUUUGAUAACAGAAAUAAUUGGGCCGAAAAGUUCAAUGAACAGAAUUGGGACAAUGGUAUUGUUGCACUCAACGGAUGAACCUUAAAGUGGCUCUCACAACGGGAGGUUGACUGUCAACGAACGGUCAUAACAGUCCACCCACAAUUACUCAUGGCAUCCAGCCAGAGAUUGGAUAACAAAAAGCAGAGAAAAAAAAACGUCGAACCUUUAAUUCAACACCAGCUACAACCGAGAGUGGUAGAAACAACAGCCUAUCCGGGCUGUCCUUCACGAGAAUAUACGCCAUGCUGGUGGAGCGUUGGGGACACUGUGUUGACGAAUGCAACCCAAAGCUGGCGUUGCUUGCAUUUGAGGCACUGUUGCAUGCCUCGUUCGAGAGCUACUCUAAAGUUUUCACAAGGAUCCCUCUUCAAUGUUAUGUUGUUGGCUAUGUUCCGUUCCACUUCCCGUUCAAGUGUUGUGAACUUGUGCCACUGAUGCCGAUGCUGAUGAAGCUGCCGCUGCUGCUGCCGUUGAUGAUGAAGUUCAGUUUAUACAGUUCACUUGAAAUCCUUUGGAUGAUGAAUGCUGUUGUUCCUGUUGCUGCCGCUGGCAUUAAUGGAUGCUGUUUGUAGUUGUUGUUUUUGGGUAAAUUGCAGCCAGCCUCUGAUGUUGUUGUUGUUGUGCACCACAAUUUAUUAAAGGUGUUGAUUUGGAAGUUUACUAGUGGCACCGCUUAGGCUGGUAUUUAUAUUGUCGGGUUUCUAGGUACAAAACUGUGGUUCAAAUAUUUUUUUUUAAAUAAAUGUUGAAAUAACUGUA